GGAAGAUCUUUUGAAAACGUACUUAAGCGGAAAGAGUGAAGAUCUUUAGGAAACAGAGGGAGUAGAAAAGAAAGAAAAAAGAAUAUAAGACGAUGGCCCUGUUUGGUAAUGAGAGGUUUGGGGUGAAAUUAUAGUUUUGUACCCCUAUUAGAGUUUUGACUGCUAUUAGAGUUUUUGACCAGUCAAAACUCUAAUAGGGGUGUUUGGUAAAAGUGCUGAUUUGAUAGAGUUUUGGGGGUCAAAACGCCAUUUUCUAAAACGCUGGGUAAUGCAGCGUUUUCAAUAGAGGUUUGGAAUUAUUUAUUGCUAAAAGACAGAUUUACCCAUUUAACCUAAGGAAAAAAACCCUCUGGCCUCUAAUCUCACUCUUCGACAUCAGAAAAAACACCUCCUUUCCCUCUUAUCUUCUUACUUCACAUAUCAGAUCUGGAAUUACAAAUAAGGAGUUCGUGAAUUCUUGAGGUAUCUUCAAAGAGGCAAAUAUUACUUGGUAGAUAAAGGAUAUCCGGAAAGAGAAGGAUAUCUAACUCCAUAUCACAAGACAAGGUAUCAUCAAUCUGAAUUUCGUGGUGCAAAUCCAAGAGGGUCUCGAGAAAUUUUCAAUCGGGCACAUUCUUCCUUAAGGAGUUGUAUUGAGAGGGCAUUUGGCAUUCUAAAGGCGCGAUGGAAAAUAUUAGUGAAAAUGCAUUGCACAAUUACAUAAGAUUAAGCAAAGUUCCCGAUCCGGCGUUCAAGAUUAUAGAUGAGGAUCCCACUUUUAUUCCUCCAGAAGCAUCUCAAGAUGUUGAUAGUAGUUCUAUGCAAGAAGCUCAACGUUUGAGUACUAAUGAAAUAACAAAAGUUCGUAAUGAGAUUACUACUGGUUUAAUGAGAACUAGACAACGACAACGUGCUUCUUAAACAUUAGUUAACCAAUAAAGUAUUACAACUACUCGUAUUGUUCUAUGAUAACGCGUUUAUAUACUCAUUUUUAUGUGAUAUAUUUGUGUGUGUUCACCAUAUUUUUCCCAUAUAUUUAAUCUCUUAGAGCUAUUAUUCUUUACUUUUCGCUAUUGCUCUUCUCGGGUGUAUUUGUUUUGUUUUUGUAGGAUUAUGGCGUUUAUUGGAGUUGAUUGGGAUUUGCACGAAAGCUUGGAUGAUUGCGGAGCAUUCAGAUGGAUUGAUAGCUUUAUCCGGCGAUGAUUUUGAAGAUAUAUUGCGAUAUGGUGUUGGUAACCAUUAAUUACCAUGCCUAAGGAGCUACAAAAUGGACUUUUGAUAGCAAGAGAACAAAAAAACUGCAUAAACCGCCACCCUUUGGCGGUCCUUUCAAGCUUACCGCAAGGCCAUGGCGGUCUCCAAUUUCAAUAUUACGUAAUCUUAGUUUUAGAGUGUUUUAGGAGUCCAAAUCCUAGUCAAACUCCUUGUAUUUGGAUAGAUAUAAAUAGGUUUUGGAUAAAAUUUGAAGGGGGGAUUCUUUUAGAGAAAAAUAACGUGAGAUUUGUUUUUCCGGUUGGACGCUUCUUCAUGUUAUCACGCCAUUCUCCAUUUUUUUUCCUCAAGUCUUUGUUUUCGACAUUUAAGUUUGCAAUUUCAUCAAUUAAUUCAAGUAUUAUUUUCUCUUCUCUA